GAUGUUCUCGCGUUAUAUAGUCUCGCGAUGUUGGAUCAACUUCACCAGCGGAACAAUAGUUGGUAGGUUGUUCUCGGACGUGCGGGAAAGCAGAAAUUGGCUCGACUAGGAGAGAGUGAGCGGCCCUUGGGGUGAGCUUAUCUGGAGUUCGAGAAGCAUCAACAACAUAAAAAUGACCAGUGGGUAUCAACAUAUUAACUAACCGAGGAAAUCAACGUGAUCUUGCCCGCUUAAAGAAUGCCAAGAAGCAAGGGGACCAAAAUAAGGGGAAGAGGAGCAAUGAUGGUUUGUCUGCUGCAGCCCGUAAGCAGAGGGAUGCAGAGAUAAUGCAACAGAAGCAGAAAAAAGCAAGUGACAAGGGAAGUGACAAGUCUAAAUAACCUUGGAAAAGGAGUCCAGUUCGUAAAGGACGUCCCUCGCUUCGCUUACUUCUGAGUUUUGAGAAUGGAGCAAUCAUACUGUCUAGGUUCCGGAAAAUAGAAUCCUACAAACCUAUAUUCUUUCCUAUGGCAAAUUACAUUGUGUGUUGAAUUUUGGAUUAGUUUAAAAUGUUAAUCUGGUGAAAUAAAGUUUGCCCACUUAAAAACGUGUUUCAUUAAAAAGUGUCAAUUGUGUUGGAGAAUAAAGCUACAUAACAAUUGUGUAUUUUUGUAUCAAUCAUGACCCACUGACCCCAAAUAAAGUGUGUCUUUUUAGUUCACAUUUACUGGAGUUCAUUUUCAGAGAAAUGCAUUCAAUUUAACAAUAACUCAUUGGUCUGACUUCUUGGCACUUGUUCUUUGUGGGACUCAUGAUAGUUAUGGCAUCUUACACAACUACUAAUAGGAAUAUGUUAAUAGGAGUAUGUACGUAGUCAGUUGGGUUUAAUGAAAGAUAACAUGUCUAACGAUGCCAUUGUAAGUAAUCCAUUUUAAAACAGACAAUAAUUAACUUGAGUUUUGUGUACACAUCCUAAUAAGAACUACACAGUCAUUGCUUACGGAUUACAUUUUUUAUCUUGGUGCUAUUGACCUUGAACUCUGAAAAUAACAUCCUUGUGCUCAAUUCUACCAGAUUUAUUCACAUCACACACCAUGAAGAACAUCAAGAACAUCAAUCAUUCCGAGUGUGACAAUUAGUGACCUCCACUGCAUCUCACAGGAUCUCAGUACUAAUUUCAUCACUCGUUUGUAUUCCAUUUUAUCUCUGAGUCUACAUCAAAUGGUUUCAGAAUAUAAAGGGAUCAAUGAGAGUAAUUACAAAUUUGCUAGGGAAUGAAUGGUAAAAUACAUCAGUUGACAUCCAAACAAUAAUCUAUUUUCUUAAACCCUUAACCCAAAU